AUUGAACGCUGGCGGCAGGCCUAACACAUGCAAGUCGAGCGAGCGGUGGACGGGUGAGUAAUGUCUGGGAAACUGCCUGAUGGAGGGGGAUAACUACUGGAAACGGUAGCUAAUACCGCAUACCAUCAGAUGUGCCCAGAUGGGAUUAGCUAGUAGGUGGGGUAACGGCUAACCUAGGUGACGAUCCCUAGCUGGUCUGAGAGGAUGACCAGCCACACUGGAACUGAGACACGAAACAGACUCGUACGGGAGGCAGCAGUGGGGAAUAUUGAACAAUGGGCGCAAGCCUGAUGCAGCCAUGCCGCGUAUAUGAAGGAGGCCUACGGGUUAUAAAGCACUUUCAGCGGGGAGGCGUUACCCGCAGAAGAAGAACCAGCUAACUCCGUGCCAGCAGCCGCGGUAAUAC
rnacentral:rRNA from 1 species